rnacentral:rRNA from 1 species
UACGAAGGGGGCUAGCGUUGUUCGGAUUUACUGGGCGUAAAGCGCGCGCAGGCGGCUUGGCAAGUUGAGGGUGAAAUCCCAGAGCUCAACUCUGGAAUUGCCUUCAAGACUGCUGGGCUUCGAGUACGGGAGAGGUGAGUGGAAUUCCCAGUGUAGAGGUGAAAUUCGUAGAUAUUGGGAAGAACACCAGUGGCGAAGGCGGCUCACUGGCCCGUUACUGACGCUCAGGCGCGAUAGCGUGGGGAUCAAACAGGA